UACGUAGGGACCGAGCGUUGUCCGGAAUCAUUGGGCGUAAAGAGCGUGUAGGCGGCCACUUAAGUCCUGCGUGAAAUCCUGCGGCUCAACCGCAGGCGGUCGUGGGAAACUGGGUGGCCAGAGUGCGGGAGAGGAGAGUGGAAUUCCUGGUGUAGCGGUGGAAUGCGCAGAUAUCAGGAAGAACACCCGUGGCGAAGGCGGCUCUCUGGAACGCAACUGACGCUGAGACGCGAAAGCGUGGGGAGCAAACAGG
rnacentral:rRNA from 1 species